CUGGCGGAAUGCUUUACACAUGCAAGUCGAGCGGCAGCGCGGGGCAACCUGGCGGCGAGCGGCGAACGGGUGAGUAAUGCAUCGGAACAUGUCCAUGUCGUGGGGGAUAGCCCGGCGAAAGCCGGAUUAAUACCGCAUACGCCCGAGAGGGGAAAGUGGGGGACCGCAAGGCCUCACGCGAUUGGGUUGGCCGAUGUCCGAUUAGCUAGUUGGCGGGGUAAGAGCCCACCAAGGCGAUGAUCGGUAGCUGGUCUGAGAGGAUGAUCAGCCACACUGGGACUGAGACACGGCCCAGACUCCUACGGGAGGCAGCAGUGGGGAAUUUUGGACAAUGGGGGCAACCCUGAUCCAGCCAUUCCGCGUGAGUGAAGAAGGCCUUCGGGUUGUAAAGCUCUUUUGUCCGGAACGAAACGGUUGGCGUGAAUAUCGCCGACUACUGACGGUACCGGAAGAAUAAGCACCGGCUAACUACGUGCCAGCAGCCGCGGUAAUACGUAGGGUGCGAGCGUUAAUCGGAAUUACUGGGCGUAAAGCGUGCGCAGGCGGUUUUGUAAGCCAGAUGUGAAAUCCCCGGGCUCAACCUGGGAAUGGCAUUUGGGACUGCAAGGCUGGAGUGUGGCAGAGGAGACUGGAAUUCCCGGUGUAGCAGUGAAAUGCGUAGAUAUCGGGAGGAAUACCGAUGGCGAAGGCAGGUCUCUGGGCUGACACUGACGCUCAUGCACGAAAGCGUGGGGAGCAAACAGGAUUAGAUACCCUGGUAGUCC
rnacentral:rRNA from 1 species